rnacentral:rRNA from 1 species
GACGAACGCUGGCGGCGUGCUUAACACAUGCAAGUCGAACGGAAAGGCCCCAGCUUGCUGGAGUACUCGAGUGGCGAACGGGUGAGUAACACGUGGGUAAUCUGCCCUGCACUCUGGGAUAAGCCUGGGAAACUGGGGCUAAUACUGGAUAUGACCUUUCUCCUUAUGGGGUUUGGUGGAAAGUUUUUCGGUUUAGGAUGGGCCCGCGGCCUAUCAGCUUGUUGGUGGGGUGAUGGCCUACCAAGGCGACGACGGGUAGCCGGCCUGAGAGGGUGAUCGGCCACAUUGGGACUGAGAUACGGCCCAGACUCCUACGGGAGGCAGCAGUGGGGAAUAUUGCACAAUGGGCGGAAGCCUGAUGCAGCGACGCCGCGUGAGGGAUGACGGCCUUCAGGUUGUAAACCUCUUUCAGCAGUGACGAAGCGUAAGUGACGGUACCUGCAGAAGAAGCACCGGCUAACUACGUG